rnacentral:rRNA from 1 species
UACAGAGGUCUCAAGCGUUGUUCGGAUUCAUUGGGCGUAAAGGGUGCGUAGGUGGCGCUGUAAGUCGGGUGUGAAAUUUCGGAGCUUAACUCCGAAACUGCAUUCGAUACUGCGUGCUUGAGGACUGGAGAGGAGACUGGAAUUAUCGGUGUAGCAGGUGAAAUGCGUAGAUAUCAUGAAGGAAGACCAGUGGCGAAGGCGGGUCUCUGGACAGUUCCUGACGCUGAGGCACGAAGGCCAGGGGAGCAAACGGG